CUCCGCCGUGGGCAGGAGGAGAAGGAAGAGAACUGGGUGCCGCCUGCCUGCACUCUCUCCGGAUGCUGGAGGCUGGAGGCAGUGAGGCAGCAACAGCGCGAGGGCGAGGCGACUUUGGAGCUGCCUCAUGCAGCGACCUCGCCUUCCGCUGCGCCUCCUCCCAGAACCCAAGAAGCCUGGAACCUGUGGCGUCCAGCCCUGAAAGGAGGAGACGGCAACCCAGCCGCGCUUUUGCCUGCACUCUCCCUGGAUGCUGGAGGCUGGAGGCAGUGACGCAGCAACAGCGCGAGGCGACUUUGGAGCGGCCUCAUAUAGCGACCUCGCCUUCCGCUGCGCGUCCUCCCAGAGCCCAAGAAGCCCGGAACCUGUGGCAUCCAUCUCUGAAAGGAGAAGACGGCAACCCAGCCGAGGCACUACUGGGUUGGGGUCUCCACGACCGAGCUGGUCUCAUCAAGUGGCGUCCAACAAGGGGCUCAAACCCGGGUUGAGGGGUUGCUGGAGCGACGGAGAACGUGGAACUACACUGGAGGACACCAGAGUACUCUUAAGCAAUCCCUUGGCCAAAACCAGCAACUGAUUUGGAUACCAUCAAGACACCUGAAAUCUUGUCAUGAGCCAGAUACUGAGGAAGAGAUUUUGGGAAGAACCCAAGGACCCCCCAGUUGCAGCCAUGUCAAGACUGACAAUAAGGAAGACAUCAGUCCCAGCAAGCAACAUUCAUCGGGCACAGCCACCCAUGUGGGGCCAGAUCAAGAAGUUGACACAGAUGGCGGAAGAAAAUCUGAAGAAAGCGGAUGACCAGCUACAAUGAGUAAUCUAAUGGUAGCUAUGAUGGCUGUGCUCACCAUUGCCAUGAGUAUUCCCCCAGCACCUGCUGAAACAAAAAACAUUAUACUUAUUGGGCAUAUAUUCC
rnacentral:lncRNA from 10 species